UACGAAGGGGGGCUAGCGUUGUUCGGAAUUACUGGGCGUAAAGCGUGCGCAGGCGGUUAUGUAAGACAGUUGUGAAAUCCCCGGGCUCAACCUGGGAACUGCAUCUGUGACUGCAUAGCUAGAGUACGGUAGAGGGGGAUGGAAUUCCGCGUGUAGCAGUGAAAUGCGUAGAUAUGCGGAGGAACACCGAUGGCGAAGGCAAUCCCCUGGACCUGUACUGACGCUCAUGCACGAAAGCGUGGGGGAGCAAACAGG
rnacentral:rRNA from 1 species